AAAUAUUAUAUGGAAUGAAAAUAUCAGACCUCAGACGAGAGGAGGAGCUCAGCAGGAGGUGGAAUGUUUCCUCUGUGAAGAAGAUUAAAGUAGGAGUGACUCACAGUGAGCUCUAUACUGUACUCUAGUAGCCACCUCCACAAUGUUGCUGUUUCAACUCAUCUCAUGUUGGGCCCUGGCAGGUGUUGGUUUGGGGAACAAGAUCACUCCAGACAGAACCGAAGUCUUUACAGAGGAAGGACUGAAUGUUACCUUGUCCUGUAAUUACUCUUCUGCUCAAACUCUACAGUGGUACAUUCAGUAUCCCAGAUCAGCUCCCCAGUUCCUCCUGCUUGUGCUACAUGGCACUGGGGAAGACCCGAGCUCAGGCAAACAUCCCCGCCUGAUGGGGAAACUAAACAAAGAGAAAACUCAAGUUUUUCUGCAGAUCUCCUCUGUUCAAGUCUCUGACUCUGCACUGUACUACUGUGCUCUGACGCCCACAGUGACACAACACCAAAGACUGCCAUACAAAAACCUGAAUGUCACUGAAUGUGAAGAAAUUCAAGAUGAAGAGAGAGGUAUGACACGCAGAGUCCAGAUUUAGCUGCAUUGUCGAUGGCAUAUAUCACUGUUCAACCAUAAAAUACUGAAAGACAUUUAAAGACACUACCCAUUCUAGCUGCUUAUU